GAUGAACGCUGGCGGCGUGCCUAAUACAUGCAAGUCGAGCGAACAGACGAGGAGCUUGCUCCUCUGACGUUAGCGGCGGACGGGUGAGUAACACGUGGAUAACCUACCUAUAAGACUGGGAUAACUUCGGGAAACCGGAGCUAAUACCGGAUAAUAUAUUGAACCGCAUGGUUCAAUAGUGAAAGACGGUUUUGCUGUCACUUAUAGAUGGAUCCGCGCCGCAUUAGCUAGUUGGUAAGGUAACGGCUUACCAAGGCAACGAUGCGUAGCCGACCUGAGAGGGUGGUCGGCCACACUGGAACUGAGACACGGUCCAGACUCCUACGGGAGGCAGCAGUAGGAAAUCUUCCGCAAUGGGCGAAAGCCUGACGGAGCAACGCCGCGUGAGUGAUGAAGGUCUUCGGAUCGUAAAACUCUGUUAUUAGGGAAGAACAAAUGUGUAAGUAACUAUGCACGUCUUGACGGUACCUAAUCAGAAAGCCACGGCUAACUACGUG
rnacentral:rRNA from 1 species